GACGAACGCUGGCGGCGUGCUUAACACAUGCAAGUCGAACGGUGAAGCUCCAGCUUGCUGGAGUGGAUCAGUGGCGAACGGGUGAGUAACACGUGAGCAACCUGCCCCUGACUCUGGAAUAAGCGCUGGAAACGGCGUCUAAUACUGGAUACGAGAAGGGUCCGCAUGGGCACUUUCUGGAAAGUUUUUCGGUUGGGGAUGGGCUCGCGGCCUAUCAGCUUGUUGGUGAGGUAAUGGCUCACCAAGGCGACGACGGGUAGCCGGCCUGAGAGGGCGACCGGCCACACUGGGACUGAGACACGGCCCAGACUCCUACGGGAGGCAGCAGUGGGGAAUAUUGCACAAUGGGCGAAAGCCUGAUGCAGCGACGCCGCGUGAGGGAUGACGGCCUUCGGGUUGUAAACCUCUUUCAGCAAGGAAGAAGCGAAAGUGACGGUACCUGCAGAAGAAGCACCGGCUAACUACGUG
rnacentral:rRNA from 1 species